UGGUACAAAAAGGAAAUCAGGUGUUGUAUAUCCUGAAGUUUCAGUUUUCUCUAAGACCUCACCUUUCAUUGCAGGCUCUUCUCAUUCUAUGUUCUGUGAGUGACCUCACCCAAGACUUAAACUUCCACAGGUGUGCUGAUGACCAAAACCUCCAUCCCCAGCCUGGCUUCUCUUCUGAGCUCCAGAUGCAAACAACGAGCUGCUUAUGGGCCAUCUCCUUAGGGCCUUCCAUGGGAACCUCAGAGUGACACGUCCAAACGUAACUUCUCUGGUCUCCCCCUGCCUACUACCUCCAUCCCUUAGUGUAUUUGAGAAGAGUUUCUUGUGAAGACGCCUUCUGAAUCAGUGCUCUAUUUUGAGCACAAAGUCAAGAUGUCUGUGGCUUCAGCCAAAGAGGUUCACAUGGAAGACCUGCUGAGCUGGUUGCUGAUUCAAGCCUGGACCAUUCCUGAAGUUCUUCUGGGCAAGAGCAUCCCUAGAAUGAUGCUUCCAACAAGCGCCCGAGAGGUUCCUCUCCUGGACAUGGCUGAGUUGCACCCAUCGCCCGCCGUGGCACCCACUGGAACCUUGUACAGUAGUGGCUUCUCACAGAUGCAGCUGCACUUCUCCACUGGAGGGCCCAGGGAGCCUGACUCACACAUGGGACCUGGGUCUGAGGUGUAUCCUAACUUUCCUCUGGAGGCCUCCAGUGGGGUUGAGCCACUACUGCCCACAGUGAUAAAGCCUGUAAAGCACCCUGUGCAUCAACUUGCUUCUCUUCUCUGUUUCACAUCCACGCCCCUCCCAGCGCUUCCCAGCAUCAGUACCUAAAAUUUCCCUUGGACUCAGAUCUUAGUCUCGGUGUCUGCUUCUGGGAAAACCAGCCUCAGGCACCCCCGGACUCCUCUUGUACAUCCCUAGUGCAGUCGUCCCAUGCUUAGCCCUCCGUGCAAUGGUGCUGACAAUGGUGAGGGCAGACAGCCCUGAGUUCCACACUUAGACUUUUCCAUUCCAGGAAGCUGCUGUUCCAGCCAGAAGGCACCCUCAGGAGUUCCUGGCGGGUACAGGAGGGCUGGGUUUGGGGUGGGGAGCCACUCCAGAAAUGUGAGAGAAUUUUCUGUUCCAAUGGUGUAUAGGGAAAGAUAUAACACUCCCGGUCCAAUUCCAAGUGCCAUUAAGCUCAGAAACAAAAAAUAUUUCUAUGCAAAAGAAAGGAAGAUUUUGCUUUAUGCAGAUUCACAGUGUUUCAAAAGAGUAAGAUGUUUCUUCCUCUCCUUCCACCUUAAAACCCUCUUUUCUACCCUAAGCUGCAUGCUCCAUUAAGUUAUCUAAUGAUUGCCAAGAAGGAAUGGAAACCCAGAGUCAUGCACCCGACUUCUGCUAGCAGUCAUUCGGGGCCCCACUGUGGUCCCGUCCUCAGUGCACCAGGUCAUGGAGUAGGUGAGGGUGUGUUUCGGCAUCCAGGAGCACACUCACUUCCUCCCUCACUCUAAUUGGCUCAGGGGUGGACAUGUGACACCUUGAGACCCAAUGAGAUAUCUCCUGGGACUUCUGGGAAACAGCCCUUUGCUCCUCCUCACUGGUUUACAGUGAGAGGAUAAGGGCUGGGGCCUUGGCAGCCAUUUUGCUCCCAUAAGAGAAGAGCCUGAAGUUAGAGCCCACAGGAAGAGGUAAAGCUAAGAGGAAAAGAAACACCAAGUCUUGUGAGACUGAGCAAUGGAAUCUGCCUGUCCUCCUCUGGACCGUUCAAUAGUUUAGUCAUUCAGUUCUCUUUCUUGCUUCAUCUGGUGUUGGGUUUUUCUGUCACUUAUUGCAAAGAGUCCUAAUUGAUAUGAACAGAAGGGAGAGGUUUCCUUUUUUUCUCUCUCUCUGAUCCAAAAUGACUGGUAAGUUUUCUUCAUUCUCCUUUGCACCAUGACCCAAGUUUCUUUCUCCUGUCCUCUGUGACCCAGAGUGUCCCUCAGAGGCAGGGCACAUGGCUGCUGGAGGUCCCUCAGUGUGCGUAUCUAACAUUUCUGCUUGAAAUCCUCUGUUGAAAUGUAACUGACUCCGCCAAAGAGGGAUGACCAAACACACAAGGAGUGUAAGGAAUUUGUACUUGAGAUGCCCAAGGGUCUGAUUCUGACAUGCUAAGGUUUUAUCCCAAAAGUUAAGAUUUCAUUAACAAAUCUUCAUGCAAAAGCACUUGGAGAAAUUUGGCUUUAAAUUCAAGUGCAAAGCAUAAUCCUUUUAAUAAGCUGGGACCAAUGUUUUGAAAAGGGAGAAAAUUUUCAGUGGUAAUUUAAAUAUGUAAAAUAAACAAUAUCUAUCUACUAGUUCUUCUGAAAAGCCUAUAAACAUGGUAACUGUAGUAGAGAGUUUCUCAUAUCACUUCAUUUUUAAAAAAUCCUUUAGUUUCUCUCCAACUUAUUCAAUACUCAACCUACAGAAAACUUGCAAAAAAUAAUCAAAUGGACAUCUAUAUAUCCUUUAUCUAGAUUUAACCAUUGUUACUGUUUUGCCAUAUUUGUAUUAUAUACACAUAUAUGUGAUUUUUUUGAGGAACCAUCAGAGUUAAUUACAAACAUCAUGACACUGAAUCCUUGAAUGCUGUAGCAUUUCUCUCCUAUUAACUGAGAUAAUUAUCUCAUAUAAUAUCACACUCAAGAAAUUAACAUUGAUAGAAUACUAAUUAUUGUUAUUUUUUUAUACAGGUAUCACUCUGUCCUCCAGACUGGAGUGCAGUGGUGAGAUCAUGACUCAUGUAGCCUUGAACUCCUGGACUCUCAACACAACCUCCCAAGUAGCUGGAAUUACAGGCAUGUGCCACCAUACCCAGCUAACUUUUGUAUUUUUUGUAGAGAUGGGGUUUCACCAUGUUGCCCAGGCUGGUUUCAAACUCCUGGGUUCAAGGAAUCCUGCCUUGACCUCCCAAAGUGCUGGGAUUACAGGUGUACACCACCAUGCCCAGCUCACAAUACUAUCAUCUACUUCUUUGGUCCAUAUUCAAAUUUUUUUCUUUGUCCUAAGAAUAUCUUUCACAGUUAACUUUUUUCUUUUGACACAUGAUCCACCCAAGUAUCAUGCAUCACAUUUACUAAUAUUUUACUUUUAAACAUUAUGCUACAGUCUUUUUUCUAGUUCUUAAUGAACUAUCUUGGGUUAUUAUGAAACUGGUAUUUGUUCCAUGAGUUACUUAUUUUCUAUCAGUUUCUAUUUGUUCUACUGAUUAAUUAUUGAGAAAAGUACCUAAAGAAUUACCUAGGCUGGGCGCGGUGGCUCAUGCCUGUGAUCCCAGCACUUUGGGAGGCCGAAGAGGGCGAAUCACGAGGUCAGGAGAUCGAGACCAUCCUGGCUAACACAGUGAAACCCCGUCUCUACUAAAAAAUAGAAAAAAAAUAGCUGUGUGUGGUGGUGGACACCUGUAGUCCCAGCUACUUGGGAGGCUGAGGCAGGAGAAUGGCGUGAACCCAGGAAGCAGAGCUUGUAGUGAGCAGAGAUCACACCACUGCACUCCAGCCUAGGUGACAGAGCGAGACUCCGUCUCAAAAAAAAAAAAAAAAAAAAAAGAAUUAAAAAAGAAUUACCUAAAGGCCACAGGGUAUUUGGGCAUUUGUGUGAUUUUUUAAACCUAAGAGAACCUGUUGAUUUUAUACUUACAAGCAAAACCCAUCCUGUUGCAUUAUACAUUAUCACAGGAAAAAAAAGGUAAUCAAAGGAGGUUGGUGGCAGAUGUAUGAUGAUGUUGAUAAUGUGGUGAUGGGGAUGAUGAAGCUGAGGAGAAGGAAGGGUAUGGUGAUUUUAAGUCAGGUUGACUGAAUUAAAGUUUUGCCUGAAGAUGGAUAUCUGUGUGCUCUUUUGUAUUGUGAGUGUUUUGCAAAAGGUAGCUGCUUUACAUACCUCCUGGAGCUAUAACCACCUCCUCCAAGAUCACUGCCUUGACCCC
ensembl:lincRNA